GCUUGUCUCAAAGAUUAAGCCAUGCAUGUCUAAGUAUAAACAAAUCUAUACUGUGAAACUGCGAAUGGCUCAUUAUAUCAGUUAUAGUUUAUUUGAUGGUUCUUGCUACUUGGAUAACCGUAGUAAUUCUAGAGCUAAUACAUGCAUCAAACCCCGACUCCUGGAAGGGGUGUAUUUAUUAGAUGGAAACCAAUGCGGGGCAACCCGGAUUCUGGUGAUUCAUAAUAACUUUCGGAUCGAUCCUCGGAUCGAUGCAUCAUUCAAGUUUCUGCCCUAUCAGCUUUGGAUGGUAGGGUAUUGGCCUACCAUGGCUUUAACGGGUAACGGAGAAUUAGGGUUCGAUUCCGGAGAGGGAGCCUGAGAAAUGGCUACCACAUCCAAGGAAGGCA
rnacentral:rRNA from 1 species